AACGUAGGAGGCAAGCGUUAUCCGGAGUGACUGGGCGUAAAGAGCGUGUAGGCGGUUGAGUAAGUUGCGUGUGAAAGCGCCCGGCUAAACUGGGCGAGGACAGGCAAGACUGCUGAGCUAGAGGCCGAUAGGGGGGUGCGGAAUUCCGGGUGUAGCGGUGAAAUGUGUAGAGAUCCGGAGGAACACCAGUGGUGCAGACUGCGCCCUGGAUCGGGCCUGACGCUGAGACGCGAAAGCGUGGGGAGCGCACGGG
rnacentral:rRNA from 1 species